UGGAAAUACAGACGAAAGUACUGUUAUACAACAGUAAGCGAUCAAAUUGAUUAAGCGUAUUGUAAAUACGCCCGCCUGAUUGGGGUAAACCUUCUUACAAAAAGAAGGUCUAUUUUUAUGCUU
ncrna:unclassified sequences DTF3800-I RNA